rnacentral:rRNA from 1 species
UACAGAGGGUGCGAGCGUUAAUCGGAGUUACUGGGCGUAAAGGGCGCGUAGGCGGUUAUAUAAGUGAGAUGUGAAAUCCCUGGGCUUAACCUAGGAACUGCAUCUCAUACUGUAUGACUGGAGUAUUGUAGAGGGUAGUGGAAUUUCCGGUGUAGCGGUGAAAUGCGUAGAGAUCGGAAGGAACACCAGUGGCGAAGGCGGCUACCUGGACAAAUACUGACGCUGAGGCGCGAGAGCGUGGGGGAGCAAACGAGG